CAGCCGCCGCGGUAAUACCGGCGGCCCGAGUGGCGGCCACUAUUAUUGGGCUUAAAGCGUCCGUAGCCGGGUUGGUUAGUCUCCCGGGAAAUCUGGCCGCUUAACGGUCAGAAUUCCGGGAGAUACUGCCAGCCUAGGGACCGGGAGAGGCCGAGGGUAUUCCCGGAGUAGGGGUGAAAUCCUAUAAUCCCGGGAGGACCACCUGUGGCGAAGGCGCUCGGCUGGAACGGGUCCGACGGGGAGGGACGAAGGCCAGGGGAGCAAACCGGAUUAGAUACCCGGGUAGUCCUGGCUGUAAACGAUGCGGACUUUGUGUCGGACAAGCUAUGAGCUUGUCCGGUGCCGGAGGGAAACCGUGAAGUCCGCCGCCUGGGGAGUACGGCCGCAAGGCUGAAACUUAAAGGAAUUGGCGGG
rnacentral:rRNA from 1 species